AACGUAGGAGACAAACGUUAUCCGGAGUUACUGGGCGUAAAGGGCGUGUAGGCGGUCGACUAAGUCUGGCGUGAAAGCUCGCGGCUAAACCGCGAGAGGUCGUUGGAUACUGGUUGACUAGAGGACGGUAGAGGCGUGUGGAAUUCCGGGUGUAGUGGUGAAAUGCGUAGAGAUCCGGAGGAACACCAGUGGCGAAGGCGACACGCUGGGCCGUACCUGACGCUGAGACACGAAAGCGUGGGUAGCAAACAGG
rnacentral:rRNA from 1 species